rnacentral:rRNA from 1 species
GGAGGCAGCAGUAGGGAAUCUUCCACAAUGGACGAAAGUCUGAUGGAGCAACGCCGCGUGAGUGAAGAAGGGUUUCGGCUCGUAAAGCUCUGUUGGUAGUGAAGAAAGAUAGAGGUAGUAACUGGCCUUUAUUUGACGGUAAUUACUUAGAAAGUCACGGCUAACUACGUGCCAGCAGCCGCGGUAAUACGUAGGUGGCAAGCGUUGUCCGGAUUUAUUGGGCGUAAAGCGAGUGCAGGCGGUUCAAUAAGUCUGAUGUGAAAGCCUUCGGCUCAACCGGAGAAUUGCAUCAGAAACUGUUGAACUUGAGUGCAGAAGAGGAGAGUGGAACUCCAUGUGUAGCGGUGGAAUGCGUAGAUAUAUGGAAGAACACCAGUGGCGAAGGCGGCUCUCUGGUCUGCAACUGACGCUGAGGCUCGAAAGCAUGGGUAGCGAACAGGAUUAGAUACCCUGG